GCUUAACCGGAGAAGUGCAUCGGAAACUGGAUAACUUGAGUGCAGAAGAGGGUAGUGGAACUCCAUGUGUAGCGGUGGAAUGCGUAGAUAUAUGGAAGAACACCAGUGGCGAAGGCGGCUACCUGGUCUGCAACUGACGCUGAGACUCGAAAGCAUGGGUAGCGAACAGGAUUAGAUACCCUGGUAGUCCAUGCCGUAAACGAUGAUUGCUAGGUGUUGGAGGGUUUCCGCCCUUCAGUGCCGGAGCUAACGCAUUAAGCACUCCGCCUGGGGAGUACGACCGCAAGGUUGAAACUCAAAGGAAUUGACGGGGGCCCGCACAAGCGGUGGAGCAUGUGGUUUAAUUCGAAGCUACGCGAAGAACCUUACCAGGUCUUGACAUCUUGCGCCAACCCUAGAGAUAGGGCGUUUCCUUCGGGAACGCAAUGACAGGUGGUGCAUGGUCGUCGUCAGCUCGUGUCGUGAGAUGUUGGGUUAAGUCCCGCAACGAGCGCAACCCUUGUUACUAGUUGCCAGCAUUAAGUUGGGCACUCUAGUGAGACUGCCGGUGACAAACCGGAGGAAGGUGGGGACGACGUCAGAUCAUCAUGCCCCUUAUGACCUGGGCUACACACGUGCUACAAUGGACGGUACAACG
rnacentral:rRNA from 1 species